AGCCGCCAUGCUGGACGAACCAUUAGCAGCUCUUCAGACCACUACGCACCGCGUACAGACGUGCUCCCUCUUCGUCGUGUUUUACGUGAAAUCGUUACUUUACAUUAUUCUGUAAACCCUGGUAGCCUGUUGCUGUGUUGUAGCAGCAGCAGCUCCACACAUAACAGACGUGGGGAAAAAAAUCGCUAAUGGUUUAACUUUUCACCGGUUCCUGCUCGGAGGCAGAACCUCCGAACAUCUGAGAUAACAAACAGUCGUCGGCUCGCUUGGCUGUAAGACGACCAAAUAUAACCUUCCACAUUAUCCCGAUGUCGAUGAGAGUCUGCUCCCUGCAUUUUCAUUCUGGAAAACCAGCAAAUGAAAUGUACAGCUCCCACCCAGACUGAGCCCCAUCUCUCAACCCGGGCCACACUAAGAUAAAUGUCACAUCGACUGCACGCUAUGAGAGAAGGGAAGGAGAAAACGGUGGAGGACUGACAGUACACCUGCGAUGGAUGACACAGUUAUGGAUGACCUUCUUCCAGCAGUGGAGACACCAGCACCAGUAGACGAUGGAGCUGACCAGAGACCGCUGACAGAAUGUGACUUCUGUCAUCGUCGGCAGGAUGAAAUCAAGCGGCUGCUGGAAGAGAACAGGACCCUGAAACAGGAGCUCGGUCAGAGGAAAAUGGGUGAACAUUUCCUGAAGGAUGACAUCAACAAAGUGAAGUACUACACUGGACUUCCACACCUUGAAGUUGUCAUGGGUGUUCUAGCCUGUGUUGCAAAAAUUAGUGAUGCUAAAA